AGUUGAUCAUGACAACUGUGUGUGGUUCUUUACUCCAGAAUAUGGCAAUCAUGCAUAAUUAAAUGUGAUUGACAUGUCUGCAGUGGAGUAACACAUGCAAUAUAUGGCAUGUGCAGU
rnacentral:precursor_RNA from 14 species